rnacentral:tRNA from 1 species
UAUGGCAGAUUAGUGCAGUAAACUUAAGAUUUAUUUAUAAAGAUAACCUUUUUUUAGAA